GGGGGUAUAACUCAGUGGUAGAGCCCAAGCUUGGUGUGCAUGAGGUCCUGGGUUCCAUCUCCAGUACUACCA
rnacentral:tRNA from 1 species